AUGGAGGCGCCCAUCAGUGCAUCACAGGGAGCCAUGCGGUCCCUUCCUGGUAAGCUGGAGUUGUUGCUAUCAGGACCCAAGCAGGGGCUGCGGGCAGAGGAGAAGAACAAGCUCCGUUUCCUCCAAGCCGAUCUCCAGGGACUGAUCGAUAACUACCUAUUCGAGCCAUCUGAGGUGGAGUCCCCUGCUUCGACGGCCAGCUUCUGGAUGAAGGAUGUGCGCGACAUGUCGUAUGACAUCGACGACUUCAUCUACGAACUCACCAACGUCGGUGACGCCACCGUUGCCAGGAUCAGUGUCGUCCAGAAAUCCCCUCGUGUUAAGAUCUCUCGGUUUCCGGAGAAGCUGAAACGGCGACAAUGGAUCUCCGAUGAGAUCUCAGGGUUCAGGACUCGCGUCAAGGAAGCCAUUCAACGGCACAAAGCCUAUCUUGGUGGCUGCAGGUGGCAACCUAGCAGCAGCGGGGAGCUGGGUGAACACCAACACUCUGCUCCAUCACCAUGCUGCCAGGCUGCUAUUCGCCUUAUUGGUAUGGACAGCUCCAUCAAACAGCUUUGCGGAUGGUUGGCUAACGAUGGACAGCCAGAGCACAAGGUGGCGUCGAUAGUUGGAACUGGUGGGGUUGGGAAGACCACCCUGGCCAGAGAAGUGUACAGUAAGCUUCGAGGCCAGUUCGAGUGCCGAGGUUUUGUGCGGAUACACCGGAAGCCAAACAUGAAGAUGCACCUCGCUAGCAUACUUUCGCAAGUUCGACGGCACCAGAUCUCCGAUGCUUGCGAGGUGCAUAAACUGAUCUUCGAGAUCAAAGCACACCUGCAAGAUAAGACGUACAUAAUUGUAAUUGAUAAUCUGUGGGCAUCAUCAACCUGGGAUAUUAUCAACCAUGCUUUGCCGAAGGGAAAUUGUUGCAGUAGGAUAUUAGCAACGACCGAAGUUGAAGCCAUAGCACAGACAUGCGCAGAUACCUCCAAGUAUAUGCCUUCAAAGAAAGAAAGCAACCCCAAGUAUAUCUUCAAGAAGGAACCGCUAAGUGAACAUGAGUCAAGAGAACUAUUUUUAAGUACAGUUUUUGGCCAUGAAGCUGAAUGUCCUCAGGGCCUCAAGGAAGUUUCAAAUGAAAUUAUAAAAAGAAGUGGUGGCAAUCCGCUAGCAAUUAUUAUAUUGGCGAGUCUUUUUGCAGGUCAGCCAGCCAGCAGCAUAGAGCAAUGGAAUUACAUCAAGAAUUCGCUGAGUUCUGAUUUAAGCACGGAUACUAGUUUGGAAGGGAUAAAACAAGUCGUCAACCUUGGCUAUGACAAUCUUCCUCACAGUUUGAAAGCAUGCAUGCUAUAUCUAUGUUUGUAUGAAGAGGACUGUGUAAUCUGGAAGGAUGAUUUGGUGAAGCAGUGGAUAGCUGAAGGUUUCAUCCACGCAAUGGAAGGGAACAGUGGGAAGGAAGUUGCACAAAGCUAUUUUGAUGAGCUUGUUAACAGAGGAAUGAUCCAACCUGUGGAUAUCAACUGCAAUGAUGAAAUUCUUUCAUGUAGAGUGCACGACAUGGUACUUCACUUUAUUAGAUACAAGUCCAUGGAAGAGAAUUUUAGCAUUGCAUUAGAUCAUUCCCAGACUGCUGUAAGGCUUGCUGACAAGGUUCGUCGGCUAGCUCUCCACUUCGGCAAUGUCGAACAUGCCACACCACCAAUGCCAGCAAGUAUGAGACUGUCACAAGUUCGAUCUCUUGUCUUUUCUGGAUUGCUCAAGUGCAUGCCUUCCAUUGUGGAGUUCCGGUUUAUUCAGGUUCUGAUCCUUAAAUUUUGGGCUGAUCCUGAUAACAGGAGUGACAACCUUACUGGCUCUGAUGACCUGAGUGGCAACAUCACUGAACCAGAUUACUUAAGUGACAAUCUCACUGAACCUGAUGAUCUGAGUUGUAAUCUAACUGAAAUUUCAGAGCUCUUCCAACUGAGGUAUUUUCAUCUCGAUGCAAGUCAUAUGAGUGUGGAGCUUCCAACACAGAUGAAACGGCUAAAAGAUUUGGUGGCAUGGGAAAUUGAUGCCGAUGUAACUGCAGUUCCAUCAGAUAUUGUCGAUCUGCCGGGCUUGUUCUUCCUCAGUAUUCCUAGAGAGGCAAAUCUGCCCACUGGUAUUGGCCGCAUGUCAUCUCUUCGCACUCUGGGAGUUAUCGAUCUCAGCAAGAACUCAACAGAAAAUAUUAUGUGCCUUGGUGAGCUGACCAAUCUCCAGGAUCUUCGUCUCACAUGUUCCACAUUACAGCCUGAUAACCUGGAAAGGAACUUGGAAUGCCUGGACUUGAUAAUUCGGAAACUAAGCAAUCUCAAAUGUGUAACUCUGGUACCUGUAGUCUCCUCUCAUGUAAAAACUCAGGAUGAUGCCAGUUCUUCAAGCAUGACCAUUUCUUGGCAUGGCUUCACUAUGGUGUCCCUUUCUCCAGCCCUUCUUGAGAGACUAGAGUUGUCACGGCGCUGCUGCAUCUUCUCCAGCUUACCUGAGUGGACCAAGGAUCUUACGAAGCUUGGCAUCUUAAAGAUUGCAGUUAGGAAGGUGUCAACUGAAGAUGUUAUUAUUCUCAAAGGAUUGCCUUCCCUCACCUCUCUCUCGUUGUUCAUCUGGACCGCACCCAUAAGAAGGAUCAUCUUUGACAACAAGGGAUUCUUGGUUCUCAAGUACUUCAAGUUAGUGUGUCUUGCACCAUGCCUGGUUUUUCUGGAUGGAGCAAUGCCCAAAGUCCAAAAUCUCAAGCUAGGCUUUAAUGCUAAUAGAAUGGAGCGAUAUAGCUUGGUAGCUGCUGGGUUUGAGCACCUAACUAGCCUCAACGAGCUCACUGCAAAAAUUGGGGGCACCGGUACUAAUGAAUGCUGCAGAAAGUCCACACAUUUGGUGUUGGCUGAUGCCAUUAUAAAGCAUACAAGCACCCCCAUCAUCAAUGUACAAUGGUUGGAUUGGCAUUAUUGUGGUGAUGAAGAGAACUACAUAGAGGCUCCAAAAGAAAUACACGAAUGGACUUCGGAAAAACAAGGCAUGACAGCUGGGGAAAGCUCAGAUGAACAUGGAGUUCAAGAGAAUAACUUGGAGAGAGAUCCCAAGAAACCCGCCGAUUUAAGUGCAUGGCUUGCUGUCACCAGGACUGAUACGCUACCAGAAUCCACCUCCCAUGUGCAGAGUACAGUCCAUAACAUCUCGGAGGCAGAGGAUGAGUGGUUGGUACCCAGCCCUGGCGACGACGAGCUGGACCACGAGGGCACUGCAGUGGAGGAGGCGGUGCGGGUGGUGGAACAGUGGGACUUGCCAGCGGCCAGGCUCAGGCUUGUGUUCGAGUCGCCGGAGGACGCCGAGGAGUACCUUGCCGCGGCCACCUGCCUCGUUGGUGUGGCCGGUGCACACGUUGAGACGGUGCUGCAGGUCGCAAUGGCACGGCUCGAGGAGGAGUUCCGCCAGCUGCUGAUCGGCGGGACGGCAUCGCUCACUAUGGAGGACCCCCACGAUUCUCUCGUCUCUCGGCUCUCGCUUACCGUACCAACAUCCAAUUGUGCAUCUUCCAUCGACGUAGACGACACAUGGACCUCGGUCUCCGACGAGGGAGAUGAGUCUGCGGGUUGGGGCACAUCAAGUUCGGUCUCCGGUGGCGAGAUCUCAUCUUACGUCCCGGACACCAUUAGCACCCUCAAGGGCAUCAUGGACGUCAUGUAUAGCUCGUCUUACUUCAUUUCCCCGGAUACUGUCAGCACUCUCAAGGACAUCGCAGACGUCAUGCUGUGCGCUGGCUAUGCUGCAGAGCUUAGCCAGGCCUACAGUGAAGUGCGCCGGGGCAUGCUUGUUGAGUGUCUUGCCACACUUGGGGUCGACAAGAUGAACCUAGAGGAGGUGCAGCACAUGGAGUGGGUCGUCCUCAACGCCAAGAUGAGGGAGUGGAUCCAGGCACUCAAGGUGGUUGUCCAGGGCCUUCUUGCUGAGGAGCGCCGCAUCUGUAACCAGAUCUUCGCAGCCAAUGCCGACACUGUAGACGAAUGCUUUACAUGGGCAGCAAAGGGGUGCGUGCUACAGCUGCUUAACUUUGGUGAUGCCAUUACGAUUGAGAAGAGAUCGUCCGAGAAGCUGUUCCGUAUUCUUGAUAUGUAUGAAGCUCUAGCUGAGUUACUGCCUGAGCUCGAGGCCUUGUUCUCUGGCGAUGCAAGGGAUUUUAUCAAGGAAGAGGCAGAGCGGAUACUUGUGAGGUUUGGGGAUGCAGUGCGUGGUGCAUUUUCUGAGUUUGCCAAUGUGAUAAGGGGGGAGACUUCUUGCAGAUUAGUGCCAGGUGGCGAGAUCCAUCCGAUGACACGUUACGUCAUGAACUAUGUAGUAGCGGCUACAAAUUACAGUUGCCUGAAUCAUCUUCUUGAUGGCAGUCAUACUAAGGUGAAGAAUACAGAGGUGACUCCUUCACGACACUGCAUGCAGACACUAAUCACACAUCUAUUGGAUAAGAUUGAGAAUAAAUCAAAGCUGUAUUAUGAUGAGGCGCUGCAGAACAUCUUUUUGAUCAACAAUCUAUGGUACAUUCUGCACAAGGUGAAUGAUUCAGAACUGAAGACUGUGCUUGGGGAUAACUGGAUCCGUAAACAACAUGGUCAGAUCAUCAGUACGUACUCCACAGGGUACUUCCGAUCUUCAUGGUAUACGGUUGUAGAUUGUCUGAGGGAUGAUGGGCUGCCACAUGCAACAGGUUCAUCGAGUGCACUCAUGGAUGCUCUGAAGGAAAGGUUCAAGAAUUUCAACUUGACCUACGAAGAGUUAUACAGGACACAGACAGCAUGGAAGGUUGUGGAUCCUCAGCUCAGAAAGAAGAUGCAGAUUUUCAUCUCAGAGAAUGUCAUUCCAGCAUACCGUUCGUUUGUUAGAAGGUACCGAGUCCACCUAGAGGGGAAAAAGAAUUUGGCAAGGUAUAUAAAAUAUAGUACUGAGGAUUUGGAAAACCAGAUCUUAGAUUUGUUUGAAGGGAUAAGAUUGGGAUAG
rnacentral:rRNA from 1 species